AACGAACGCUGGCGGCAUGCCUAACACAUGCAAGUCGAACGAGACCUUCGGGUCUAGUGGCGCACGGGUGCGUAACGCGUGGGAACCUGCCUUUAGGUUCGGAAUAACUCAGAGAAAUUUGAGCUAAUACCGGAUGAUGUCUUCGGACCAAAGAUUUAUCGCCUUUAGAUGGGCCCGCGUUGGAUUAGCUAGUUGGUGGGGUAAAGGCCUACCAAGGCGACGAUCCAUAGCUGGUCUGAGAGGAUGAUCAGCCACACUGGGACUGAGACACGGCCCAGACUCCUACGGGAGGCAGCAGUGGGGAAUAUUGGACAAUGGGCGAAAGCCUGAUCCAGCAAUGCCGCGUGAGUGAUGAAGGCCUUAGGGUUGUAAAGCUCUUUUACCCGAGAUGAUAAUGACAGUAUCGGGAGAAUAAGCUCCGGCUAACCCCGUG
rnacentral:rRNA from 1 species